UUAAUUCUUCAGAGUGUUCUUGCAUGUGGGUCAGAAGCCUAAAUAAAACCAUGACACAGACUGUUGAACCUACAAUCAAGCAGCUUACCUCGCUACAGCACAAGGACUGUCGCACAAGUUCGGUUAAGAAGGUGAACAAAUGACAAAGGUACACAAGCUACCCAUCUCAAUGAGGGCACCCAAACUGACAUUUCUCCUAGUGUAAUUUCACCAACACAUACAGAUGUUUCAGAACCAGAAAUUCAGAGUAACAGCCCUGUAGUCCAG